rnacentral:rRNA from 1 species
AGUGAACGCUGGCGGUAGGCCUAACACAUGCGAGUCGAACGGCAGCACAGAGGAGCUUGCUCCUUGGGUGGCGAGUGGCGGACGGGUGAGGAAUACAUCGGAAUCUACUCUGUCGUGGGGGAUAACGUAGGGAAACUUACGCUAAUACCGCAUACGACCUACGGGUGAAAGCAGGGGACCUUCGGGCCUUGCGCGAUUGAAUGAGCCGAUGUCGGAUUAGCUAGUUGGCGGGGUAAAGGCCCACCAAGGCGACGAUCCGUAGCUGGUCUGAGAGGAUGAUCAGCCACACUGGAACUGAGACACGGUCCAGACCCCUACGGGAGGCAGCAGUGGGGAAUAUUGGACAAUGGGCGCAAGCCUGAUCCAGCCAUACCGCGUGGGUGAAGAAGGCCUUCGGGUUGUAAAGCCCUUUUGUUGGGAAAGAAAUCCAGCUGGCUAAUACCCGGUUGGGAUGACGGUACCCAAAGAAUAAGCACCGGCUAACUUCGUGCCAGCCGCCGCUGUAA